AGGGCCUUUGGUGCUGCCCUCCUCACCUCUGCCAAAUGAUGCUGGCAUGAUCCUAAUCCUAGCCGUGUCCCCAGGAUGUGGAUCUGUCACUUCUGGAACAGGAGAAAGGGGGGAGCCCAGUGGCAGAGCUUCUGCAGGGUGAGCUCCUCUCCCCCAGAGGCUCACAGACAGUUAGUCAGAUCUGGGGGCACACGGAAAACUUGGUAGAAUUUUCCCAAACCUUUUAAAAGCUUCCAGCAAAUGGAAGCCUCCACAUAAGGCUCUUCAGGAAACAAAGGCAUUAUGGAGAGAUUAGAAACUGGAUGGGAGACACAAAUGAAGAGCAGAAAUAAAUAUUUUAUUUCCAUCCUGGCUCUCUGCAGGAAGCAAUGUCUGCUUCUUACCCGUCUGAGGAGGAGGAGAGCAAGAUGAGACCAUUUCUUUUCAGUAAGCCGAGCCUUGCAAGAGCUGCAAACCUGCAACAGGGCUUAAAAGGAGCACUCAGGAGUGUCUCUCUAAGGGCAGCUGGUUGGAAAACAACAUGUUGUGCACAGAAGAGAUGAGGAACAACAAAGUCAGCCUUGAGGGAAAGAGGAGGGCAGUGGUUGCUUUUCUGUGCUCAGCUAAGGACGACAACACACCCUCAUGUCAGAAGGCAAAUGGUACUUUGUUUCAACACAUUUCACCGUGGCUGCUGAAAACAAAGGGAUCAAAGAGUUUCCACCUCUGAUUAUGUGGCAAAUAAGGCAUGACCAGCCAGGGCAAAGCAACAAUUCCAGUUCCCUACAGACCCACAGGGGUUAACCUACAGAAGGCUACCUGGUCCACUAGUUUUGGAAACUAAAGAUCAGGUGAGGCACUGUCUGUGCCGUCAGAGCCAGCAGCAAAAAGAGCAGUACACAUAACCUUUGCUGGCUCAACAAGGCUCUCACUGGUUUGCAGAGUUGUACAGAGGCAGCCUGUGGAAACCCUGCACUUGAGGGUCCAGAAACCAACUGCUCACAUUUUGUUAAGCCACAGUAGAUGGAGGCAGGCCAGCAGAACGCUCUCCUUCCUCAGGAGGCAUCUCUAUCUUGCAGCCCCACCAUAUCACCCACCACAAUCACAAAAACAUUGUUUUUCUUAUCUUUGGCCCGGUAUAAUUUUUCUUUGGCCGUUUUCCUUUAGCUUCUCACCUUGGAGCCACUGAUGAAUAAUCCUCACAAGCAGUCCCAACAUUCCCUGAGGGAAACACUCCUGGGGGGGUCACACUGAUCAGAACCAAAGCACGUUUAGCUGAACCCAGAAUCACACAGACAAGCGUGCUCCCCCCUGCCCCACGCUCGGAGGCACAUGCACACAAACACACCAGCUCACACUCACUUGCUGCUUGGUAGUAAAAGUGGGUGAACUACACAGGGAUUAAAGCAUUAAAAAAAACAUAGCGAGAACACAGUGCUUGAAAGCGCCGCGUCCCUGGAGAGAUUAGAGUAACUGCCUGGAGAUAAAGUAAUGAUGAUGGAAAGAUCUUCUUCCUCACAGAGAUUCUCUUCCUAAUUAUCUUGUCUGAAAAGAAAAAAUGAUGAUCUACCUGCUUUUAUCUGUCUCUUGACAAUUUUAGCUCUGCGCCUGUCUUGUUGCAAGAGGCCCAAAAGAGGAAGGAGAAGGAAUUAGCCCAGGAGGCAGGAAUGGUAGGAGAACGAGUGGCACAGGAGGCAGUGCUUCAUUUUUGUCACCACCAGCAGCGACAGAAAAGUAAAAUAUGAAUGAUCACUGCAGCUUUGUCUUUGCAAGCCCAAAGGCAGCUUCCCUGCCCCCAGCACUGCUCUGUCAGGCAAAGGACAGGCAGGAGGUCGGAUCCACUGCUGAACCUGUGGAAGAGAUUAACAGGGUGCUGUUCUCCCCAUGAUCACAGGGCAGAGCUUGGUGCUAUGGUGAGGGAAGAGGACUCCUGAGCUGGCAGGGGCAGGAGAGUGCCCAGAUUGUUCCUCCCCCACUCUUUUCCUUCUCAAACAGCUGGAAAGCAAAUUCUUUCAGCAGGCAGCGAGCAGAAAGAACGUUUCAAAUACACACCAGCCACAAGCACCACAUGAAAAAUCAGACCCUUGAGCCACUCUGCAAGACAAGGAUGGCCACUGAUCAAAAACCAGGCAUCGCAUCCACCAGCUGGGGCUUUGCACAGGAGAAGCCUUUCCCUUGGUAUUAUCUUGGAGCUAGCUGCUUCUCCAUCUUUGUUAAUUUCAGAUGAAUGCAACCCUAGACUUCCCUGAAAACCAUUUAAGCCCUGGUUUAGAGGCAAUUGGUGUUUGGCUAGCAGGGUACAGAGACAACAAAGGGUUUGUAGGAAGCCCAGAGCCAAGAAAAACCUCAAAACAGACAUUACAAGCAUAAAGCUAUGGAGGGUGGGAGGGAGGUGAUUUUUUUUCCACGGGGAUGGAGGCUGGUGGUAUAGGAGCUGUUUGCAAACUCAUGAUUCAUCCCCACAGCAUCACUUUCUCCUUCUUUGCACUCCUGUUGACAUGCAAACAUGAGCUGUUGCCUUUCCCACACAAUGAGAACUGUGUCCAGUUCUGGAGCCCCCAGCUCAGGAAGGACACUGAGGUGCUGGGGCAUGUCCAGAGAAGGGCAACGGAGCUGCUGAAGGGUCUGGAGCACAGAUCCUGUGAGGAGCAGCUGAGGCAGCUGGUGUUGUUCAGCCUGGAGAGGGGGAGGCUCAGGCACCUGGUCACUCUCCAAUUCCCUGAGAGGAGGCUGUGGCUAAGCGAGGGUCAGCCUUUUCUCCCAGGCAACCAGACAGGACAAGAGGACAUAGUCACAGGCUGCACCGGCGGAGGUUCAGGCUGGAUAUUAGCAGGAUUUUUUUCACAGAGAGUUAUUAGACACUGUUAUGGGCUGCCCAGGGCGCUGGUGGAGUCACGGUCCCGGGGGGUGUUAAGGAGAGACUGGAGCGGCACUGGUGCCACGGUCCGGCUGACACGGCGGCGUUCGGCACAGCCCGCACCCCAUCUCAGAGGGCUCCUGACCUGACUCUGUGCCUUAAAUAAACCAAACUGCCCCAAA